rnacentral:rRNA from 1 species
CAGCAGCCGCGGUAAUACAGAGGGUGCAAGCGUUAAUCGGAAUUACUGGGCGUAAAGCGCGCGUAGGUGGUUUGUUAAGUUGGAUGUGAAAUCCCCGGGCUCAACCUGGGAACUGCAUCCAAAACUGGCAAGCUAGAGUAUGGUAGAGGGUGGUGGAAUUUACUGUGUAGCGGUGAAAUGCGUAGAUAUAGGAAGGAACACCAGUGGCGAAGGCGACCACCUGGACUGAUACUGACACUGAGGUGCGAAAGCGUGGGGAGCAAACAGGAUUAGAUACCCGGGUAGUCCCUGUCUCUUAUAC